rnacentral:tRNA from 1 species
CCUUCGAUAGCUCAGUUGGUAGAGCGGAGGACUGUAGAGGUGGCUUUGUGCUGACAUCCUUAGGUCGCUGGUUCGAAUCCGGCUCGAAGGA